ACAUGCCUACAAAUUAUCGUUAAUGCACCAGAUCCCAUUAGAACUCCACAAUUAAGCGUGCUCAGGCUAGAGAAGUACUGGGAUGUGUGAUCGUCCAGGAAGUCCUAGUAUUUUGCAUUCC
rnacentral:rRNA from 1 species